rnacentral:rRNA from 1 species
AUUGAACGCUGGCGGCAUGCUUUACACAUGCAAGUCGAACGGUAGCAGGGUGCUUGCACCGCUGACGAGUGGCGAACGGGUGAGUAAUGCGUCGGAACGUGCCGAGUAGUGGGGGAUAACGCAGCGAAAGUUGUGCUAAUACCGCAUACGUACUGAGGUAGAAAGUGGGGGACCUUCGGGCCUCACGCUAUUCGAGCGGCCGACGUCUGAUUAGCUAGUAGGUGAGGUAAAGGCUCACCUAGGCGACGAUCAGUAGCGGGUCUGAGAGGAUGAUCCGCCACACGGGGACUGAGACACGGCCCAGACUGCUACGGGAGGCAGCAGUGGGGAAUUUUGGACAAUGGGCGAAAGCCUGAUCCAGCCAUGCCGCGUGUCUGAAGAAGGCCUUCGGGUUGUAAAGGACUUUUGUCAGGGAGGAAAUCCCUAGUGCUAAUAACACUGGGGGAUGACAGUACCUGAAGAAUAAGCACCGGCUAACUACGUGCCAGCAGCCGCAGUAA